UACGUAGGGUGCGAGCGUUAAUCGGAAUUACUGGGCGUAAAGCGUGCGCAGGCGGUUUUGUAAGUCUGUCGUGAAAUCCCCGGGCUCAACCUGGGAAUUGCGAUGGAGACUGCAAGGCUAGAAUCUGGCAGAGGGGGGUAGAAUUCCACGUGUAGCAGUGAAAUGCGUAGAGAUGUGGAGGAACACCGAUGGCGAAGGCAGCCCCCUGGGUCAAGAUUGA
rnacentral:rRNA from 1 species